GAAAGCCGUAUUCGAUGAAAGUCGUAUGUACGGCUUGGAGGGAGCGAGGUUCAAAAGAGGAAAGGCUUGCGGUGGAUACCUAGAC
rnacentral:ncRNA from 1 species